CACUAAUCUAUUGUGUGGAACUGUAUCAAAUGCCUUGGUAAAAUCCAACUAGAUCACAUCCACUGCAAUACCCUGAUCUAUACUUCUCAUAAAGAGAUUAAUGGACAGAAAAUAUCAGAAGGGGGAGGAAGAAGGGAUUACUGACAUAUAAAAGCACUACAUGGAAUGAGUAAUAAAUGUACAUAAGAAAACUUUUUUUAAAUAAAUC